GAAAACUCACCAGGUCAGGACACGGUAAGGAUUGACGGACUGAAGGCUCUUUCUCGAUUCCGUGGAAAGUGGUGCAUGGCCGUUUUGGUUGGUGGAUCGAUCCGUCUGGUUAAUUCCGUUAACGAACGAGACCUCGGCACUCCGAAUAGCGCGGCGGACGUCGCGGCCUCCGGGCCGUCUUCCGCACGAGCUUCUUAGAGGGACCGUCCCCCGCCGGGGAAGGAGGUGCGAGGCAACGACAGGUCUGUGAUGCCCUUAGAUGUUCUGGGCCGCACGCGCAUUACACUGACGCGUCCAACGGGUGACUCCCGACCCGAAGGGGCCGGGGAAUCCGCAAGGCGCGUCGUGAUGGGGAUUGAACGUUGCAAUUGUUGUUCACGAACGAGGAAUUCCUAGUAGGCGCGGGUCAUCAACCCGCGCCGAUUACGUCCCUGCCCUUUGUACACACCGCCCG
rnacentral:rRNA from 1 species